UAUUAUUUUAAAGUAUUAAUCAGUAUCAUAUAAAUGCUUACAAGUGGACCUCCAAAGUAAAAUAGAAAGGCCACAAAUUUCUCAGGAAUGUGUGAUUUAACAGGUGAAUCUGACCCCAUGAAUGCAUUAGAUUGCACUUAAAAAAUUGCAAGUAAGUGAAAUGAACUUGAGUAAGUAUGAACAAUACAAAAUAAAAUGAGAGUCAUUUAUUACAAGGAUGUUGGGCAUCAUUAGGAAUGCACGGGCAACAACUGAACUGCAUAGUUGAGAGAUCUGGGAGGCCGUGAAUCUGUUUUGAGAGUUGCUGCUUUUGCCUCUCUCCUUUUUGUAGACAACGUCAUACCUUGAAUGUGAACUUGAGGCCUGGGACCAUGUGGGAGAACCUGUAGACUUUCGCUGACAACCAUGCUGUGACAGCAUGAAGAUAAAAGCCAAGAAGCUAAGGUUGGCGAGAGAUUGACAUCCCUGACAGCAUUUUUGAACCACUGUGUCUGGACUGCCGACGCUGGACUAUCUGAAACCUAUGCAUAUCAUUCCUCAAGGUUGUGAGG
rnacentral:lncRNA from 1 species